CCAGAAUGCCAUAAAAUACUCUUAAUAAUCCUCCUCACACAGCCAUGAAGUCUGUAAGCAGCUACAGGUAAAAGAGCUGGAGAGAGCAGAAGCAGUAAAUAGUUGUUUUUGUCACUUGAGUCAGCACAUAUAAUUCUUCACACACACAGGAACUAUCUUCGCCGUGGAAGAAAAUACCAUUUGCACAAUAACUUUUCACAGUGGAACUGUGCCUUGAAUCAAACAAGCAAGUACUGAGUCACCUCUGCAGCACAGCAACAACAAUUUGAUCUGCUACGUGGCAAGCUUUGGUUUGAAGAUACUAAACAAUUCCUCAUCCCAGGCCUGGGGCUUGGAAACUACUCCAAAGGAUCUGUUGGGAAUCAAAGCUCAGCACAUCUCCAUACCUGGGGUUCCAGUAUGCAGAUACCGCCUUUGUGUAGGUUAACUUGCAGGCCUGGAAAAAACAAUGAACAAGAGAUGUGACAACCUCAAUUAUUUGGUGACGCUAAGAGCUUCGAGACAGCUCCUGCUGGAAAGAGCUGUUGGGAAGCCUGGGGGUG
rnacentral:lncRNA from 1 species